CUACGGGUUGCAGCAGUAGGGAAUAUUGGACAAUGGGCGAAAGCCUGAUCCAGCAAUGCCGCGUGAGUGAUGAAGGCCUUAGGGUUGUAAAGCUCUUUUACCCGGGAUGAUAAUGACAGUACCGGGAGAAUAAGCCCCGGCUAACUCCGUGCCAGCAGCCGCGGUAAUACGGAGGGGGCUAGCGUUGUUCGGAAUUACUGGGCGUAAAGCGCGCGUAGGCGGCGAUUUAAGUCAGGGGUGAAAGCCCAGUGCUCAACACUGGAACUGCCCUUGAGACUGGAUUGCUUGAAUCACGGAGAGGUGGGUGGAAUUCCGAGUGUAGAGGUGAAAUUCGUAGAUAUUCGGAAGAACACCAGUGGCGAAGGCGGCCCACUGGACGUGUAUUGACGCUGAGGUGCGAAAGCGUGGGGAGCAAACAGGAUUAGAUACCCCUGUAGUC
rnacentral:rRNA from 1 species